UAUUUAAUUAAAUGAUUGGAAUAAGCUUAUGAGUGAGGUUUGAGCUCCAGAGUUCUGAUUGAUAUAUUUUCUAUCUACUGGAAGCAUGAAUGAUUUUGCCUAAGUUUCUAUGAUUGAUUGAAUUACGUGUAUGUGUCACAUGAUCAAGGCCAUUUUUGAUAAGCCCUUUUCUAAGCCAAAAAUUUCGUCCCACAUGAAAAAGAACAUCUUAUGUUCUACCCUUUUUUAACAUAAGCCUUAAACAAGAUGAAAACCCUUGCUAUGAAAAUCUUUGCCUUGAGUUAGGUUGAGAAAUAUUUUUGGGAUAUUGUUAAAGGUUCAAGUUUGGGGUUGUUGGGAGAAUUGAAAAAGAAAAAGAAAAGUUAAGCAUUGAGCUUAUGAGUUGAAAAGAAAAUGCAUGAGAAAAGAUGAAAAAGAUAGAAAAAGCAAAGCAUGAAAAGAAAAGCUCAAUGUGAAGAAAAGGGAAAGUUGGGAAUGAGUGAGAUUGGUAAAAAGAGAGUUUGUGCUUGGACUAUGAAUGUAUAAUAACUCUCUUAACUCAAGGGUUUUGUGAUCUAGAAAAACCAAUUUUCCUAGUUAGCCCAACCACAUUAUAAGCCUUGAAAAGUCCUUGUGAUGACAUGUGUAUGUGACGAUGUUUGAUUGUGGCAAAUGAAAGGCAAUUUUGUUCUAUGUGACAUGUAGAUAGUAGAGGGAAGGAGUGACCUCUUGAAACACCUGUGUGAUUGAGUGAAACACUUUAUCUGGUGAGGAAUGAUUCCAUGAAUUCAUGAUUACAUCUAUGCUUAGCUAACUGACCAUUCAUGAGAAUAACAUCUGUUGGAUAUUAUGUGAUUAUAUGAACACCACAAUGAGUUAAUUGAAUCAAAGCAUGUGCACAUCUUGACUAAAUUUUAUUGAUGAGUUGAUUUGA
rnacentral:lncRNA from 1 species